rnacentral:rRNA from 1 species
GAUCAUGGCUCAGAUUGAACGCUGGCGGCAGGCCUAACACAUGCAAGUCGAACGGUAACAGGAAACAGCUUGCUGUUUUCGCUGACGAGUGGCGGACGGGUGAGUAAUGUCUGGGAAACUGCCUGAUGGAGGGGGGAUAACUACUGGAAACGGUAGCUAAUACCGCAUAAUGUCGCAAGACCAAAGAGGGGGACCUUCGGCCGUCUUGCCAUCGGAUGUGCCCAGAUGGGAGUUAGCUAGG